CAGACAACCAAAAAGUUUCUAUUAAUGGUAAUACACACAGCCACUAAGAAAGUAUCCAAGUAAUUAUUGUAGCUUAAAACUAAGUGUAGUAUGAGAGUGCUAAAUUAUGAUAAAACACUUCACAACAAUAUUAAGUUUCGACGAUCCAUGAUCCAUUUAAGAACAAGUUAUUAAAGCAUUUGAGUUUAAACAUCAAGCAACAGCCACAGUUUCUGCGGGCUUUGAUUCGGGUUCAGCAGGUGCUUCGGCUUUCCAGAAGGAAGUCUUCUUCCCAGUCUUUGAAACGGUCUGAAGAACCACAUCUGGCUGCACGUUUCCUUUCACUGUAACCUUUUGCUCCUUCAAAUCAAUUUCAUAUGAUUCCACACCUUCCAUUUUCCCCAAAACUCUCUUCACAGCACCAACACAACCUUGACAUGACAUACCAACCUUGAGCACAACAGUCUGAGACAUGGUAAUGGUUGUGUAAAAAAGAGAAGAAUGAAACUUUGAUUUUUUUGGUCUGAUUGAUUCUUCUUGUGUGCGUUUGCGUUGGAGCUUGCAAGUUUCCUGGCAGAGGAAUUAUAUAGACUUUCUACGAUAAAAGAGAGCGAUGAAAGUACAUAC
rnacentral:misc_RNA from 1 species